AAAUAGGCGAUGGAGUUCGCCAUUAAACGCGUAAAGCUAAUGACUCCUACUCUU
rnacentral:ncRNA from 1 species